UUGCACUACUCCUUCCACUAGUCCUUUUCCAGCUCUAAUGUGAAUGGUAUAGACUCCAACAUCUCCAAGAUUUGAGGAAGAAAAGAGAAGUAUGAAUAUCUAAAGUGAGAUGAUAUCACUUUUAACUUCAUACUUAUGAUGAAACUCUGGAGUUUGAUUUAUUCAGCUGUUACUUGUUCGUCCCAAGCAUAGCAGAGGACGUGUUGGAAUUGCAACCCUUUUUUAGGGUUUGUUAGCAUGAUUCAAUUUUUUACUGGCCUUCUGGGAGUUAUUUUUCAUCUUUAGGCAGUUAUCACUGCUAAGAGGAAAAGAGAUUUAUUUAUUUAUUUAUUUAUUUAUUUAUUUAUUUAUUUUGCUAGCUCCUAGUGCAAGGUAGUCAUUAAGCAAAUGGGAAUUUGAGUUUGCUGGGAUAUCCCCUGACCUGUGAUGGGAGAUACUGCAGCCUGGAGUUUUUUAGAGCUAUGGGGCAGAAGUGACUCCUUUGGGCAUCUCUCCUUUGAAGAUAUUGCAGAAUAGAAAGUAAUGCUUAAUACCAAACCAGAUUUUUUUACUGUUAUUGAAGACAGGGUAUCUUGCUUAGAGAAAUGUGAUUGGCACAGGGACUCUAAAGACCAAAAGUCAUCUUUAUUACUUUUCCUGGAGAGGCUCCCUGUAUCCUAACCUGUCUGUGUUCCCCUCAUCCUUUCCCCACCCCAUCCUAUUUUCAGUCUCAGCUGGAUCUCCUGAGACCUGUUUCUCAUCAGAGCCUCUGUUUGCCAAACUCUGCAUUGGUGGUGUGACGUACACAAACAAACAUUUCUUUGAGAUAAUUGUCUUUGUUCAAGGAGUAACUUGAGAUUUAUAUCCUGAUGUCUCUAAAUAAAAGGCCACAAAGUCUAUGGUUUGGACGCGGUACUCGUGCCCCUGGAUGAACCAGGGGGGAUUGCUGUCUCCAGUGAGACUCCCACCAGGCAGGCGGUCAGGAUCCUGAAGUGGCUUUUCCAUCCAAAGAAGGGCUGACGUGAAGGAGAGGUGCUCCAGCACUCUGACCAUCUUUGUGGCCUUCCUCUGGACUCUCUCCAAGAGAUACACCUCCUUCUUACGCUGGGGACCCCAGAGCUGGGAAGCGGAGGGAGGAGGAGGCACCGCUGGAGAGCACCUGCCCGCUGAUGUGUCCGGUGCACAGGGCCCCUGAGCCAGCGUGUCUGUUGUGUACCUCUGCCUGCUGGCCCUGGCCACUGCCGCCCCUCACGCGUGUUCAGCCCACCCCACUGCCCUUCCUGACACCCGGCACAGUCCUGCAAGGGGGCUGCAGGGAAUGCAGGAAGGGCAGGAGUCAUGCCAAGGCAUCUCAGGCUUCAACUUCAUAGCCAAGUCAGGGUUUAAUUUCUUCUUUUUCAAAGAGAAGAGAAAAGUAUCUCUAGUCCUAGGGGCAUCUUCAGGAGGAGCAAGCACUCAGGAGCUCCUGCAGGUUGAUGCAGCCUCUUUAAAUAUUUAAUUUCUCUUGAGGUGUGAUAUGUUUUCCUGUCUCCUGGGAGAUUAUUAAUUUGUGCCCCCCCCCCCUUUUUUUUUUUUUUUUCCUGAGGGACACUUUACUCUUCCAGCUUUUAAGUCCAUUUUUUGUAUUCUGUCACAUAUUGGUGUGUACUCUGAGGGGAUCUUGUCAAUUGGAGACCAAAUGGAUUCUGCAAGUCUAGCAAGGGUAGGUAGUACUGCUGGUAUUUCACACAAUUUGCUUUGGUGGGAGCAUUCUCUGUGUUACUGAGAAGGAUUCACUCGACAACCUGAGCAGGGAUUGGGUUUUCACCCUCUUUAUUCCAGCAGGGCAGUGAAAGGUGGCAUUUUGGCAUGAUGUGUGGUUAAAUCAGAUUAUAUGAAUUAGAAACUGAGGAAGUUUUAAAUAAAAUCACUAGAUGAGAAGGAGGUCCUUCAAAAGAAGGAUCUCUUUCUUAAUAUCUGUGAAAAAAAAAAGAUAACCAGUCACUGAUAGCUGAACAAAAGACUUUGACCCAGUGGUUUUGCAGAAAAGAGGGCUGGGUUUUCAAUAACAACCUCUUGCUAGGUUGUUGAAUCCUAUGUUGCAUGGAAACAGCACGAAACAGAAACACAAGCACAGAAAUCAGAGAAGUUGCUUAAAAAUGGAUGGAGAAAUGUUUCUUGUUUCUUUAUGCUGGGGCAGAAGUACAUUUCACGUCUGUCACAUGUACCACUAACCCCAGGGGUGGCCCAGGCAACCUCCCACUGCCACCAACUUCCUUCCUGUCCAGGCUGGCAGUCAGAAACCUUGUUCUUCUGCCAGUACAAAGAGCGGAUUUGAGCUACUUGUCAUUGCGAUGGCAGAAACCCCAGAAUGUCAACACAGAAGUAAUUUUUUUUCUUAGUGGAACUGUAUUUUAAAGAGAUUUUUGAAACUUACUAGAAAAAUACUUCCACCUUGAAGAAACAAAUGAAUGGUGGCAGUAGUCUACAUACUUACACAGACAGCUGUUACCUAUUUUAUUAGUCAGUGCUUGGAUCUCAGAAUCAAAAUCUGAAAUUCAUCAGCGUUGGCAACACUCUACAGUGUCUUCCCAAGAAAUUAAUACUUCUGGCCAUAAGCAUUUUGAAGCAACUUUGAUAUUGGCAUUAAGUUUCUGUUCAGAAUUAUUUAUUUGGGAGGAGAUUUCACAAAACUCCUUCCUUUGUUAAAUAGCAAUGUAACAUAUCAAAACACAGGCAUUUGGAUCUAAUUAACAAUAGCAAGAUUUUUCUUCACAGAGAAAACAGAGAACCACUUUGGCCCAUGCUGUGGGUCCUGCAGAUGGGUUAGUUGUUAGGAAAUAAUUUCUAGCAUCUUCUUUUCUUUGCAUUUUUAUUUUGUGUACCGUCUUCUGGCAAAGGCACCAUGCGGGGUAAUCUUUAAACCUUUCCAAAAUACAGGCAAAUGCUCCUUUUUUCCCUGAAGUUGCAUACUAAAUCAUAACGAGGAGCUAUUUCAUUUUCCACUAAUUUGUCUCAGAGAAAUAAACAUUAAAAAGUCAGAAGUAAUUCAUAAUCUCCAGACAACAAUGUUGUACUUAAUAUGAGGGAAAAUAUUUUCCAUCUAUUUUACUGCCACAGAGUCCUCCCGAAGAGAACUUGGUAUGUAAAUCUGAUAUUACAGUAAAGCCUAGCUUUCAGGAAAUCUGAGAUGAUCAGGAAAAUGUUCUGGAAAGUAUAGCCAUGUACCCCAGAAUAUUAAUUUUUCUACUAGAAUAGCAAAACGCAUCCAAAGCUGGGAGUUUCCAGCUAUGCAUCAUUGGCGUGUGUCUGGAUUUGUGCGCACACAUGUACGUAGGCUUUUGGUUCCCCUUUAAUGCUGAAUUUCCUGAUGGGUAGAUGGACAAUGACUGCUCCUAUCUCCAGGUGCUUUGACACAUGUGCUACAGAGAUAUUUCAGUAAUUUAGCUGGGGCUAAUUUUCUAAUGCCUCACACAUCUGUGAAUUUUUGCAAGUCUACUCAGCAUCCUCAGCUGUGAGAGGAGUGGUUGAAAGCUGAGCUAGUUGCAUGGACAAAUCACCAAUAAGGCUGGGAGCAUGUCCUUCUAAAAUCACUUUCCUGUUUCCUGGUUCAAAACAAGGCAACUGGGUCUGGCACCACUGUGCACCAGCACAUUGGAUGCGUAUCAGGGAUCUGCUGAACUCCCUCUUCCCGCUCUUGGAAGUUCUCUGUUGAGAGAGGAGUCAACAGCCCCUGUUGCAUCUCUUCUCUGUGGCUGAAGUCCAGUGGCAAAUAUUACUGCCCUUCAGCUAGACACUACCUCCUUACCUGCUCCAGAGUGUCAGCUCUCUGAGCAGAUACCUUUUUGCCCUUAUAUCUGUGACACAAAAUUUUCUGCAGGAUUUGGUUUUCAUUUAAAUGUUCCUCAGUGUUCCUAUAAAAUGCAUAUUCAUCUCUCUUACCUUAUGAAAGGAAAGCUUGCCCCCUCCUUUUUAUCACUCAGAAAGAUUAAAUUAGCUUCUCAGCUGAUAGUAGACAAGAUAUACUUCAUAUUCCAGAGGCAAUCUGACUACAAGCCCUGAACUGAGCAAGAGUAAUUCAAUUGAUUCUACUCAAGCUGCACUAAUUUACACCAACUAUAAAUUAAUCUUUUCUUGUGAAAUAUGUCUAGGACUGACCUUGCAGUAUCCAACUGACUGAAUUAAUUCUGGGCAGCAUCUCACCCUUAAAAUAAUGUAGAAGUCCUUUUUAGGAGAUUAGCCAAAACUUUGCAUUUUCACCCUUAAAAAAUAAGUCAAAGGGCAGCAUGGUAAGAAAGAUGACAGCAGAAUUAGGCCAACCUUGUACACAAUCCACAUACUAACUACAUUUAUCUAUGAUACAGAUGAUGAAAAUGUAGUAUUUUCCACAUAAUUUUUCUUUCUUCUCCUUGCUUGUUCCUGUCAUUUUAUGGUGUUUUUUAUUCCUGUUUCUGUGCAAAAGCCUACUCUGUGCACUUUAUUAAUGUGAAAUACCACAGAAGAUGAAAGAUCCAGAUGGCUGCAUGAAGACUGUGAAUCUGUAAGAGAGAUCUUUGCAUCUUCUUCUUAAGCCACCCAUGUUUUGCUUAUUUGUGCAGGGUCACAGCUGUUGACAGGACAGCCAGCCUCUCCGCAGGGAGACAACAUGCCCGAGGACCAGGCUGCUGUUCUACCCAGGCCAUGGAUGGCAAAAAUGAACACAGAAAGUUUUCUAUAAGGAGCACUCUAUUUCACCCAAUGAACUGGGGCUCAGGCCAACCAAACCUGGCCAUGCCAUGCUGCCUGCAGUUUCUUUGCCACCACCAUGCAAAUCCAUAUUCAUCGGCUCAUUCAAACUGAAACGUUGUUAUGCUCUUUGGGACUGCAGUGGCAGAGGUCCCAGUCAGCAUGAAGUUUUCUGGUCUUCCUACGCCAACAUGAUUCUACGAUUUUAUUCUAUGAUUCUUUAACUUACUGUCCGUUCUUUGAUAAAAAGUUAAACCAAUAUUCCCAUCCACGGAGUCUACCUGGCAAAUGCAAUCAGAGCUCUUAAUUUAAAGUAAAUAACUGAAUAUAUUUGCCUUAAGCUACCCUUAGCACCUUUUUAAUCAGGGAAAGAAAGCACUUACAGCAAUUAAAGCAAAAGUCAAUGUUUAAAAAUCAGCUUAUAAAUUAGUUUCUCUGCACUGUCAAUUAUUUUAAAAAUGUUUUUGACUGCUUAAAUUAAUUCCAAUUUGAAUUCAAGACGCACAUUGCCACAGAAUGAAAUUCAGGACAUCAUUUUUUUCUCAUCACUACUGAGCUUUAGAGCCAUAUUUUUUCUCUUUACUUUUUUUCUGCUUCUCUUGAGUCAUCGCUAAUGAAAGCUCUAAAUAUAGGUAUGACUAACAAUGCAAACUUUAGAAACUGUAUGUAAACUACCGCAAGAAAAACAGAUCAGAGAGUUAUGCUCACCAGAAAUUCAAACAACUGCUGCCAACCACUACAUGCAAGUGAUGAUUACUGCAUUUUUCUCAUUAGAAAGGCAGCUGUCAUAUAGCUUACGGUUUGGACAGAAAGAAAUAAGUUAGCAUAUUGCUUAAGAGCUGUCUGUUAAAUCCUUGCUCUAUGUUGCCAAAAAUA